rnacentral:tRNA from 1 species
GCUAACUUGGCAGAAUUAUGCGUAAGACUUAGGAUCUUAUAAUAACCUAUGAAACAGGUUAGGUAGUA